GUGAGAAAUAUGGAUACGAAGUCAUCAUGACAUCUUAAACGGCAUGAAAGAAAGCUUGCGUGUUAUACUAGUCCUCGUAUUGGUUGGUCUUCGAUUUGUCGUCGUGCGCGCAUGGAAAUCGAGAUCAAAUCGGUCCUGCUUUACCCAUCUCUCCCGAUUUUGCCACCGGAACUGCUUGCUUUAGGGGAGAGGAUGGGCAAUGUCAGCACCGGUUUGUCUGAAGAUGCCAUCACAGAAUGCUUGACAGAGAUAGUAUACUGCUCUUCUGACCCAAUACAAGAAGAUAAUCAUGAGCAAGAUAGCUGCACAAUAUACCGAUAGAGAGACCGUCUUGGGAGAUUGAACUGCAAACAAGUUUUCCACUCCAGCUGUAUCGCGAAAUGGUUGCUGAGCAAGAACAUCUGUCCCAUAUGCAUAACCUCUGCCUUGGAAGAAAACUUUAAAUGACAAAUAAAUUGCUAAAUUCUGUGGAAAUAUUUUUCAAGGAAGGUCAUUAUGCUAAUUUGUAGACACACUUUAGCUGCUAGACACAAUAUGCUUAUAGCUUCAGACAAAUUGAUUCAUUCAGUUUAACUGCUCAAUCCUGGUGCCAGAUUUUAGUGUUUCCUACCUUAGAAAUGCUACGAUGAGAAAUGUGAUGGUUAUGAAACUGAUUAGUGCAUGUAGUUUGCUUUGUGUGUA